rnacentral:lncRNA from 1 species
GAGGGAAAGUUCUAUACAAAAGCAUCCCAGCUAAUAAACAUGGCAAGAAUGGUCAUAUAAUGAAGUCACCACUUGUAAUCCUUAGUGCAAGAAAUGAUUCAAGCAAAGGCAAUCAGUAGAUGAAACGGCGAGCUGGAUGGGUGCUGAAAUGGAGGAAAGGGAUCCAGCUAUUCUCUCGUGCUCCAUUCAUCCAUCUUAGCAUCAUGAAUAAAGGACUCUUCAUGUGUGCUGCCUGGUGGCAUGCACUCAGGAUGAAGUACAGGGCGCCACCUCUGACAUACUCUCAAAGAGCUGACCUAGACUAUAAAGCACUCCCCUUGCUGCCCGCUCUCGGCCCUUAAGGAAAGUGAAGCCUGGAGAAGGAACACCUUUAAUGCAAGGACAGUUGAGCCACUUUCAAAUCAGAGUCCUUUUCUUAGAGGGCAGGGAGGGUGUAGUAGGCAGAGACUGAUUCUUAAUGUUUUUCAGGUAGAAUAUGGCUCUGUGAGGAAAUGCCCAUUUGUUAGUAAUAUUGGAUCACUAUUGGGGGAUAUCAGGGGGCCUGAUGCCUGGGGUUUGCUUUAAAAUCCCCUGGAAGAAGAAAAAGACGUUCCAAGAGGGGAAGGAGUUCCCAGUGUGGCUGAGCAGGUAAAGAACCCAGUAUAGUCUCUAUGAGCAUUCGGGAACUAUCCCUGGCCUCAACCCAUGGGUUAAGGAUCCGGGGUUGCUGCAGGUUCUGGUGUAGGCUGGCAACGGCAGGUAUGAUUGGACCCCUAGCCUGGGGACUUUCAUAUGUUGUAGGUGUGGCCCUAAAAAAGUAAAUAAAUAAAAAAGCAAACAGGGGAAGGGAGAGAUAAAGCUAGUGUGGCAGAAUCUUGCUGCCUUUUGAGUCUGGUAGUAAAGUGGGGGAGUGGUUGCAUGUACUCUUCUCCCUGUGCACAUCUUGGACAGUCUGACAUGAUACAGGUGAUCACCAGGCUGUAGGAAAGAAGGUUGGGUGUUUUUAGCAGAAGUUGAAGAGGGAGACAUGAGACUCUCCGAAACCUCUGUCCACACGAGGUUGAGAAUAUGGACGAUUUGUUUGACAGUCAUUAAAAUGCAGAUCCAAAAAGACCUGCUGGCAAGUAGGUAAGAUUUUUAAUGGGAUUUUGUGUAUUCGACUAGGCAACGAGUGAAUCAAACGCAGCCACAGAGGGUAACAGCCAUUAUGGGGCCAAAUUACCUUUGGCGUGGCCUAGAGUCCGUCCAGGUCAGUGACACAGCAACCUGAUGUAAUCCGUCCUAUGAAGCCUGGUAAUGUGGGGUUUGGAAAGCCAAUACAACGAGGAAUAUUCUGUGUCUUGGCUCUCCAGUGGGUAUUUGUAAGAGAAGACAACCAGCCCACCAACCAAGAGCGCAAAGGAACCCAGACAGGCCACGAGAGCAGCCCCGCCGACUUCCUGGGAGUCCGGCUUGAAGGGUACAUUGAAAGAUGGUGGCAAGGAAGGUGGCGCGUCCUUGACAGACUGGUGGUUCCAGACCACAGCAGCUAGGAUCCAGGCACCAGCAGCUAUGUUCAGCAUUCCUGCAACAGCAAAUGGAUUACAGGUGUUCUUUGCACUCUUCUCAGGUACACAUUCCUAAGCGCAAAGACGAUGGCAGCUUUGCCUAAAAGAAUGCUCGCCACUAGCAAGAAGUUUUGGGCAACACGGAUAUCAAGUGGGAUGUAAGUAUCGCGGUGGUUGUAAUGGUGGCACCCACUGGCUCUGUUGACGCCGUUGAGGUGAUGGAAGCUGCAGGCUCUCCCCAUUCCCACGCAGGGUAGGCCGGAGGGUAAGAGCGAGGUGUUGUUGACAUACCACACUCGCCACUCCGCCAGGUCCAUGGACCUGGUGCCGAGGAUCCCUCUGAUGGUGGCCACCAUGAACCCUGCCAGCUGCCGUCUAGGGCUUCCAUUGAACAAGGGCAUGGUGGCCACGCUCCCUGGGGAACUGCAAAGGAACACAGGGCAUCCAUCAGGAGACUGGGCCCCUGGUGCCUGGAACAGACCUCUGGGGUGAGCAGUGCUCUUCUGAGAGGGAGGUUCUCAGCUGCAGGGGAGGUGCUAUGCUGGGAGGCAAGCCCCAUGCUGGGGGUACGAGUAGCGGGGAAAGCACUAUCCUGAGAGGGAGGCCCUUUGUUGAGAGUGAAGCGCUAUGCUGAGAGAGAGAGGUGCUUUGCUCAGAGGGAGGCGCUGUGCUGGAGAGAAGGGCUGUUACCUGGGGACAGAGACCUCUGCGGGGAUGGGCAUGGGAACGGGGGCGCAGGCCACGCAAAGAUGUGAGGGGCCAGCUGGCAUUAUGGACUGAAGCCUUAUCAUGCAAAGACCUUCAAACAGGCAGUUCCACUUUGGGGCAUUUGUGCAAAUAUCUCAUCAAAACUGGCCAUAAACAUAUAGUCACAGAGAGGGUCAGCACUGUGGGGACUAUGGAAAAAUGGGGAAACAACUGCCAGUCCCCCCAGAGGGCUUGGUGACCAUCAUUUGUGCUCAUUCCACACAAGGGAGCUCUGUGCCAACAUUCACAAUGUAAUGGCAGCGUCCACAGUGUGGUGUGUUGUGUCUGGCUCUUCUCAAGGUCCUUCCUUUUUGGAGCAUGUGAGGGCUUUGUUGCUGGGCCUGCAGAGGAGCAUUCAGUUGUAUGGCUGGACCACCGGUGGGUGAUUCAUUCCUCAGUGUUUGGACAUUUGGAUUGGUUCCAAGUUUUGGCUGUUGUGAACAAUGCUGCUAUAAACAGACUUUAAUAAAACGUUGGCUGGGCCCAUGUUCUCAUGUCUCGCAUGUGGACACCCAGGGCAGGGAUGAGUGGAUCGUAUGGCAAGUGGAAGGUGAACUUUUGAGAAAGCUCGAAACUGUUUCCCUGCGUGGCUGCACCAUUUUACAUUCCCACCAGCAAUGGGUGACCCUCCCAGUUUCUCCAUAUCUUGUCCAACAUUUGGAUGAUUUUAGUCUUUUUGAUGAUGGCCAUCCUAGUUGGUGAUGAAAUGCAAAAUGUGACCGGAAGGAAGAUGGUCACAAUCUAUCGAGUACAGUCUGUUAUAAGAACUUGUCUGUAUAACGUAAUCAGAGACAUGAAAAGAACUGGGCGGUGGGGGUCUAUAUGUUGAGAGGGGUUGUGGGUUUGGAAAGCUAUUUGUAUCAUGAAGAACCACAUACUGAUGGAAAAGAGCCCCUAAUCUAAGUAGAGAGCUCAGCGAGUCACCCCGGGGCCAGUACCCACACAGCCACUGCUCGGCUGAGGAGACACAGUAUCACCUCUUCCUUAUUUGUCCUGAGACUUUUCCAGCUCAGAAUGCAGCCCAAACAGAGUUCACUUCUGUCUGCUUUUCAAGAAAGGGAUUGGGCAUUAGGUGUCUGAGUGUGACUGGCUUCUUUUGCUCAACACUGUGUUCACAACCUUGGAUUGUUUCUUUUAUGGAUAUUUGGCCUUUCAGUAGAUAUUGGUCAUGGGCCUGAUUUUUCGAAAGAAAAAAGACUUCAUUCAAGUGAAGCAAUGGAGGGGGGUUCUGGUGUGUAAAUACACUUGUGUAUUGUGGGCAUGAAAGUAAUUCAUUCACCAAGACCCUUAGCAGAUGUGAGAGGAGCCCAAGCCUGGCCCAGGGAAGUAGCUCAAUAGCCAUAGAAGGAAAAGCCAAAUGUGAGGAAAACAAAGGACUGUGUUUUACAGGUUGAGUUCAAGUUACAUGAACAGUUGCAUUGGUCUCCUUAUCUUCAGUAUCUGUGUCAGAGUCUUUGUUUUCUUUUCACUCGACCUGGCGAAAAAGAUCUUAGACCCAACAAAAUACUACUUAAACUCAAGAGGUUGGCUAAUAUAAGACAAAAGAAAUCAAAACAGGAAAUAGCAAGUGUUGGCCAGGAUGUGGAGCAACCGGGACUCUUGAGCUUUGCUGGUGGGACUAGAAACUGGUACAGCCACCGUGAAGAAUGACCAUUCCUCAAAAAACCUAGACUUACUGAAUGAUCCAGAAAUUUCUCUUCUGCCUAUUUCUACACAACAGGAAAGGCAGGGACUUGAACAGCUUCUUCUGCACCCAUGCUCAUAUCAGCCUGAUUCCUGAGAGGGAGACAUGAAAGCACCCAAUUCUCCAUCCAUGGAUGAAGGGACAGACAAAGUGUGGUCUCUCCAUUGAGUGGAGUACUUUUUAGUCUUAGAAUGGAAGGAGAUUCUGUCCCAGGCUGCAGUAGGAAUGAGCCUUAAAGACUAGUUCUGCUGAGGGAAAUAAGCCCAUUACAGAGAGAGACAAAUAGCAUAUGCUCCCACUUAGAUUCAGAACCUCGAGGGGUCAGAUUCACAGCCCAGGGAGGGAGGAAUGGACAGCCCAAGGCCUGGAGGAGGGAGGCAUGGGUAGUUAGUGUUCAGUGGGGAGGGAGGCAUGGGUAGUUAGUGUUACCAGGGCCCGAGAGAGGGUGGCAUGGGUAGUUAGGGUUCAUCUGAGACAAAGGUUUCCAUUUAGGGAGAUGGAUGGUGUUGCCCACUGGGCGACAUUGUGAAUGACCCUAAUAACACCGAGUAGUGUAUUUAAAAGGUGAAAUAAUGAACGUUGUCUAUUUAACCACCUCAAAAAAACACAUAGAGAACAAAUAAGGCUGAGCCUCUACUAACCCAUCUCCAGAGGAAGGAGCGUCUGGGGUGAAGGAAGGCCCGCUUGGCAAGGAACACCUGCCAUGGAUCUCAGGCCCCCUGUCCAACAUCUCCUCUCAGCGCCUGGCUCCUCAGUGUGGACAGAGCUGAGUUCUCAGCCACACUGUGAACCUGGCCUUUGAGUCCCAGGUCCUGUCCUCAGCCUUCCACUGAUUCCACAUUCUCCUGCCCAUUGUCCGCAUCUCCAGUGUUCCCAGUUGCUAGGUCACUAAUGCCAUGGCAGCAGCCCUUUUCCUCUUGAUCAGGGCACGGGCUGGUGCUUCCUUUCUUACUCUGGGCUCCUCUUUGUCUCUCAGCUUUUUUUAUUCUGAAAUAAAAAGACGUGGAGCCCGAGUCCACUUUUCAGAUCUUUGUGAGUGUUUCAGACAUGCCCCCUAAUCCCUUUCGCUUGUCACCCAGAAAUGGUUCCUAACCCAUCUCAUCUGUAGUUAAUGCCAUUUCUGAAGCAGUGGCAAUGUGCACAUGCAGGUGUUCGCAGAAGGGGCAGCCACUGGGGGGGAUUUAUUUGUGAAAGACCACGGACGAGGAACACAUUAGCAGAGACAC